rnacentral:rRNA from 1 species
CAGUCGCCGCGGUAAUACAGAGGGUGCGAGCGUUAAUCGGAUUUACUGGGCGUAAAGCGUGCGUAGGCGGCUAAUUGAGUCGGAUGUGAAAUCCCCGAGCUUAACUUGGGAAUUGCAUUCGAUACUGGUUAGCUAGAGUGUGGGAGAGGAUGGUAGAAUUCCAGGUGUAGCGGUGAAAUGCGUAGAGAUCUGGAGGAAUACCGAUGGCGAAGGCAGCCAUCUGGCCUAACACUGACGCUGAGGCACGAAAGCAUGGGGAGCAAACAGGAUUAGAUACCCCAGUAGUCCCUGUCUCUUAUAC